rnacentral:rRNA from 1 species
GACGAACGCUGGCGGCGUGCUUAACACAUGCAAGUCGAACGGAAAGGCCCUGCUUUUGUGGGGUGCUCGAGUGGCGAACGGGUGAGUAACACGUGAGUAACCUGCCCUUGACUUUGGGAUAACUUCAGGAAACUGGGGCUAAUACCGGAUAGGAGCUCCUGCUGCAUGGUGGGGGUUGGAAAGUUUCGGCGGUUGGGGAUGGACUCGCGGCUUAUCAGCUUGUUGGUGGGGUAGUGGCUUACCAAGGCUUUGACGGGUAGCCGGCCUGAGAGGGUGACCGGCCACAUUGGGACUGAGAUACGGCCCAGACUCCUACGGGAGGCAGCAGUGGGGAAUAUUGCACAAUGGGCGGAAGCCUGAUGCAGCAACGCCGCGUGCGGGAUGACGGCCUUCGGGUUGUAAACCGAUUUCGCCUGUGACGAAGCGUGAGUGACGGUAAUGGGGAAAGAAGCACCGGCUAACUACGU